AUUGAACGCUGGCGGCAUGCCUUACACAUGCAAGUCGAACGGCAGCACGGGAGCAAUCCUGGUGGCGAGUGGCGAACGGGUGAGUAAUAUAUCGGAACGUGCCCAGUCGUGGGGGAUAACGUAGCGAAAGCUACGCUAAUACCGCAUACGAUCUAUGGAUGAAAGCGGGGGAUCGCAAGACCUCGCGCGAUUGGAGCGGCCGAUAUCAGAUUAGGUAGUUGGUGAGGUAAAGGCUCACCAAGCCGACGAUCUGUAGCUGGUCUGAGAGGACGACCAGCCACACUGGGACUGAGACACGGCCCAGACUCCUACGGGAGGCAGCAGUGGGGAAUUUUGGACAAUGGGCGCAAGCCUGAUCCAGCAAUGCCGCGUGCAGGAUGAAGGCCUUCGGUU
rnacentral:rRNA from 1 species